ensembl:snoRNA SNORD116 Small nucleolar RNA SNORD116
UGACUGAUGAUCCCUUCUCGUCUUAACAUUGCUUAAAAAGCUGUAUAAAAUCAUGUGAGCACUAUGAUGCUCACAUCAUAGUCAUACAUAUGUCA